AGAGGGUGCGAGCGUUAAUCGGAAUUACUGGGCGUAAAGCGCACGUAGGUGGGCAAGUAAGUUGUUGGUGAAAAGCUUGGGCUUAACCUGGGUCUGCCCAGCAAAACUGCUAGCCUAGAGUGUAUUAGAGGGAAGUGGAAUUUCCGGUGUAGCAGUGAAAUGCGUAGAUAUCGGAAGGAACACCAGUGGCGAAGGCGACUUCCUGGAAUACGACUGACACUGAGGUGCGAAAGCGUGGGGAGCAAACAGGGAUUAGAUACCCUGGUAGUCCACGCCGUAAACGAUGAAAACUAGCUGUUCGGUUGCGAUGCCAACUUAGUAGCGAAGCUAACGCGUUAAGUUUUCCGCCUGGGGAGUACGGCCGCAAGGUUA
rnacentral:rRNA from 1 species